rnacentral:rRNA from 1 species
UACGUAGGGGCAAGCGUUAUCCGGAUUUACUUGGGUGUAAAGGGAGCGCAGACGGAACUGCAAGUCUGGUGUGAAAGCCCGGGGCUCAACCGCGGGACUGCAUUGGAAACUGUAGAUCUGGAGUGCCGGAGGGGCAAGCGGAAUUCCUGGUGUAGCGGUGAAAUGCGUAGAUAUCAGGAGGAACACCGGCGGCGAAGGCGGCUUGCUGGACGGCAACUGACGUUGAGGCUCGAAAGCGUGGGGAGCAAACAGGAUUAGAUACCCGCGUAGUCCCU